CAGAUCUACUAAGAGAAGACCCACUCCACCUCUCAGAAUGCCCUACUCCCUGUGGAGGGACCUGCUCAAGUGGUGACCCAUAGACAAAGCCUUAAGAUAAGCUUUCCCCUUAACAAAACACCGGGCUCUUGAAGUCUUGGGAAAAUACCAGAAACCUGGCAAGGCUGGGGGCACCAUCAGUGUUUCCACCUUUGGACAACUGUUAACAAAAUCGAGGAGUUGGCACGGAAAUCCAUCUGCUCGGCUGGGAUCUCCUUCAGGUCGUCUUCCGAGAGGGUCUUGGUACUCACCUUCUUCCCCAGGAGGUCCCGGAAGUCCAGCUGCUCCACCUCCUGCUGGCGGAUCGCCUCCUCAGUGUGCUGCCUCGUCUCCACGCGCCUCUUCAGCACCCCUCGCACGUCCUCGCCGUCUUCCUCCUCUGGCCAACCCUGCCCUCUUGCUGGCCAGCCAGGCCUCAGGGUCCCAUAGCGGUCACUACCACCACCAUCAGCACCAACUCCUCCACCACAGAGGCCCUCACAGCUGGCAGGCUCCCUCCCCCUGCAACCAGUGAAGGGA